rnacentral:rRNA from 1 species
GACGAACGCUGGCGGCGUGCUUAACACAUGCAAGUCGAACGGUAAGGCCCUUCGGGGUACACGAGUGGCGAACGGGUGAGUAACACGUGGGUGAUCUGCCCUGCACUUCGGGAUAAGCCUGGGAAACUGGGUCUAAUACCGGAUAGGACCACUGCCUGCAUGGGUGGUGGUGGAAAGCUUUUGCGGUGUGGGAUGGGCCCGCGGCCUAUCAGCUUGUAGGUGGGGUGAUGGCCUACCAAGGCGACGACGGGUAGCCGGCCUGAGAGGGUGACCGGCCACAGUGGGACUGAGAUGCGGCCCAGACUCCUACGGGAGGAAGCAGUGGGGAAUAUUGCACAAUGGGCGCAAGCCUGAUGCAGCGACGCCGCGUGAGGGAUGACGGCCUUCGGGUUGUAAACCUCUUUCAGCACCGACGAAGCGCAAGUGACGGUAGGUGCAGAAGAAGGACCGGCCUACUACGUGCCAGCCGCCGCGGUAA